UACGUAGGGUGCGAGCGUUGUCCGGAAUUAUUGGGCGUAAAGAGCUCGUAGGCGGUGUGUCACGUCGAUCGUGAAAACUUUCAGCUUAACUGGGAGCUUGCGGUCGAUACGGGCAUCACUGGAGUUCGGCAGGGGAGACUGGAAUUCAAGGUGUAGCGGUGAAAUGCGCAGAUAUCUCGAGGAACACCGGUGGCGAAGGCGGGUCUCUGGGCCGAUACUGACGCUGAGGAGCGAAAGCGUGGGGAGCGAACAGG
rnacentral:rRNA from 1 species